GACAGAGGGUGCGAACGUUGUUCGGAAUUACUGGGCGUAAAGCGCGUGUAGGCGGCAACGCAAGUCGGGCGUGAAAUCCCACGGCUCAACCGUGGAAGUGCACUCGAAACGGCGUAGCUAGAGUCCUGGAGAGGAAGGUGGAAUGCUUGGUGUAGAGGUGAAAUUCGUAGAUAUCAAGCGGAACACCGGUGGCGAAGGCGGCCUUCUGGACAGUGACUGACGCUGAGACGCGAAAGCGUGGGGAGCAAACAGG
rnacentral:rRNA from 1 species